rnacentral:rRNA from 1 species
AGAGUUUGAUCCUGGCUCAGGAUGAACGCUGGCGGCGUGCUUAACACAUGCAAGUCGAAUGUAGCAAUACAUGGCGGACGGGUGAGUAACGCGUGAGCAAUCUGCCCAUAUCUGUGGAAUAACAGUUGGAAACGACUGAUAAUACCGCAUAAUAUCGUAGGAAGGCAUCUUCCAACGAUCAAAGAUUUAUCGGAUAUGGAUGAGCUCGCGUCUGAUUAGCUUGUUGGUGAGGUAACGGCUCACCAAGGCGACGAUCAGUAGCCGACCUGAGAGGGUGAUCGGCCACAUUGGAACUGAGACACGGUCCAAACUCCUACGGGAGGCAGCAGUGGGGAAUAUUGGGCAAUGGAGGCAACUCUGACCCAGCAACGCCGCGUGAAUGAUGAAGGUCUUCGGAUUGUAAAGUUCUUUUCUAAGGGAAGAAGAAAGUGACGGUACCUUAGGAAUAAGCCUCGGCUAACUACGUGCCAGCAGCCGCGGUAAUACGUAGGAGGCAAGCGUUAUCCGGAAUGACUGGGCGU